rnacentral:lncRNA from 1 species
AAGAAAAAAUAAAUUACAUCAAAGACACAAGAAACCUCGUCUCAACGAGGAAGGAGACUCUUGUCAAAAAUCCUCAGUCUCUAAGAGGGAACCCAACACUGAUCGGAGAAAAUCGACUUCCUCAAGGUAACGAAAAGUUCGAGCCUCCAAGCUCGAGCACCGGGAGAAAGCGUCAAACUCGAAUGGCCUCGAAAAGAUCUUCGGUCAUGAAUAAAAAGGGCAAAUCAACACGGCGA